UUUUAUUCAUCUUCCUUUCUUUCUAGGUCAUGUUUUCCAUGUUACAAUUCCUUUGGUUCGUACCGGUGAAGCCAAUGAACAACCACUUGACCUAAUGGAUAACAUAGUUCGCAAGGAAACACCAGCUAUCCCACAAACGCCACCCGAACAUCUGCCUAUGCUAAGUGAUAAAAAAUAUGAAACAAGCCCUGUGAAAGAUGUGACUGAUGCUUGCUUGACAUCAGGUUGGACCUAACGUUCAUUCAAACCUCAUGAAGAACCUUCUUACAUACUUUCGCUAUAGCGGUACAAUCUGGUUUGGAUGUUGGAUGCGUACUCUCCAACGUUCUUUUGCUCUUCGUGUGGCUUGACUUCAUCAAGGCUACUUCUCUGCCGCCCAGCUCCGGAUUACUUUUGCAAGUUUGCCCUAUUUACCGUGAAUGCUAUUCGCGUGUCAUCCAGCCGUUCUAUCCAAUUUAGUUGCUUAAGGUAUCCUGUUCAUAGGACUUGCCUCUGUUUCUCUGGGAUGUACAUACAGAUCCUGUUAACCAUGUUAUCUAAUAAAUUUAAGCACUAUUAGUACUGGACUGCA